rfam:Carnobacterium sp. CP1, complete genome.
AAUGUUUUGCAGGGGGACACAUUUGUGUUGAGAAGGUAAAACCUGACCCUUUGAACCUGUCAGUUAACACUGACGCAGGGAGCACUAUGUACAUAUGU